CUCUGUCACUGCUUUCGAUCCCUUUUUACUCCCUCUCGGGUUGCUAUGGUACCUAAUGUGUUUGGGAGUGGUCGGAAAUUGAGAACAGGCAGGUUUAUAGGCACCUGGGGUCCUCAUGCCGGGAGCGAUACACUGUAGUUAGCUGCUAACGUGUCAGAGUGCAGCAGUGUUUCGGGGUGCUGUUUGUAGCGCAAGGGGCUGCAGAGUGUUUGCCAACGGCGUUAUUGUUUGUUUGUGUGCAUGCUUCCGAAACAACACGUUUGGAAUGCCUAGACUGACGAGCACAGAGGAGUGCUCUGUGACCCUGGGGAGAUUGUGAAGUGCCGGAACACGGUCUGCUCACCCAAUCGCUAGAUUGUAGGCAGAGGCUGCCAAAAUACGAUUGUCGGCUGCUGUUCUCUUGAAUGUGUGUAGAGGUGUAAAUGUGUAUGAAUGUACAGGUGCUGUGUUUUUUUGGUUAGACACGUUUCCAAUUUGUUUUUUUUCUUUAUAUUUUUUUUUCCCCUUUUCCCGCUACCCGGUGGGUUGUGAAAGAUUGGUGUUCGUGAACUGAUUGUGACCACCGGCUAGCGGUUUCUUUUCUUUUUUUUGUUGUUGUUUGUUCCUUCCCCCUCCCUAGUCAUAGUCUUGGGGUGGAUUGGGCCAUAGGAUAGACAAGCUUAUCAGGUUCUAGUCUGGUUUCCUUAGUGUUUCACCCGUUUUGAACUGAUGUGUGCAGUGUAGUGCUGUGAUGUGUGCAUCAAGGGGUAGGCUGAGUUUGUAGUGUUUGUUCUACCAUAAAAGUGGUGUGCUUUAGUUCACUUGUGGUAUUGAAACCUAGGCUUGGUCCAGCUUGUAACCCGGGGCCCGCCCUCCUAUGACUUAUCCCUAUGUCAAAUUAUGUAUUUGUUAUUUAUUGACAACCAAAAGCGACUGAAUUUUAAUUAAAGAUAAAAUAAAGAUUGUAUCUUUCUACUUUGCUAAACAAAGCCUGUGCGUGUCCUCUUUUUGUUACAGAGUCCCCUUGCCAUUACGGGUUGUGUCCAAGGGGUGGCGUAGUUAGCAAUGCCAUAGCCCUUUAUGGGGGGCUACAUUUUGGCGUAGUCGGCAGGGUAGCAUUUGUGUCGCUAGGUUAGUCUAUUUAAGCAGCACCUGUGUGUGUGUGUGUGUGAGAGAGUACGUGUUUAUAGAGUUUAAAGUGUUUAUAGAGAACAGCAGCUGGCAACAAUAUGAGUGACAGAGAGUCCACAGGGGAGUUACAGCAGCUACGACAAAGUUUGGUGCAGCUCCAGGCUGAAAAUGAGAGACUUUCGGGGGGCGGGACCGUGGGCAAUGCUAGUAGCAGUGCUACUAGUACCCAGCCUGUUCGACGGGAGCAAGCGCUCUUUAUACCUCGAGAGCGGCGGUGCCCAAAGUUUUCUGGCUCUGCAACUGCAGGGUCUUUGUCUGUCGAAGAAUGGAUUGAAGAAGCGAAAAGUUGUAUUCGGGCAACGCAUAUGUCUAAUUUUGACAAGGCAUUGUUUUUGUUUGAUCACUUAGAGGGCGAAGCCCGAAAUGAGGUUAAGUACCGUCCUACAGCCACACGUGAAAACCCUGAGUCAAUAAUUGAAGUUUUAAGAGAAGUGUAUGGGUGCGCUAAAUCAUAUGUUUACUGGCAACAGCGUUUCUUUAAUAGAAAGCAAAAGGAUAAUGAAAGUUUGUUUGAGUUCUCUCAUGCUUUAAUGGAAAUGUUGGAUAAAGUAAAACAGUCAAAUGAAGGUCCCAUCAGAAACCCUGAUGUUGUUCUGCGAGACCAGUUCUGUGAAAAUGUCUCUGAUCCUAUGUUACGUAGAGAACUUAAGAGAUUGGUACGAGCAGAUAGUGGGUUGACUCUUCUAGCUGUACGGAAAGAAGCUAUAAGGUGGGUGCAGGAGGGUCAGUCCAAUCGAGAUCGUAGUUACCGUGCUCCAGGGGUAAGCAGUGAAGCUCAGGUUGUGUCGCAAUGUGUUACAGCCCCCCAGUCCUCAGAAUUCGCUGAACUAAAAGACUUGGUCCUUAAGCAACAAGCUCAGUUGGAUAUGCUUGUAAGGCAGUUAGGACACCUUAGUGGUAGAUCACAGGCUCCUCCACCACCCCGGGGUGGGCGAUACAAACGUGCCCCUGAUGGUCAGCCCUUUUGUCUACGGUGCGACCAACCAGGCCAUAUAGCCCGCUACUGUCAGGCAGCUACUUCCACCAAGAAUAGUGGGUCAGCUUCACGUCUGCCCCCUGAUAUCCCCCCUAACCUAGCAACAGGCACAGAAAAUCUCCUUAGCCAGUCGGGAAACUAGCAAUUCCCAGUGUGCAGAGCCACACGCUGGGAAGGGAUGUGUAUGGCUCAUUGCAUUCUCAAACAUAUGAUAAGUUAGUCAAAAAUUGUCCUGUGUUGUCUGUUUCUAUGGGAGAAGUAACAGUUCCCUGGUUAAUUGACACUGGGUCAAUGGUGACCACCAUCACGGAGAGUUUUUUUCAAGAGCAUUUCCAUCACCUACAAAAGAAAGAUUGUAGAUGGCUUGGGCUAAAGGCCGCUAAUGGGUUAGACAUCCCCUAUGUUGGUUACCUAGAGUUGGAUGUGGGGGUAUUGGGGCAAUGCAUUCCGAGGAGAGGAAUUUUAAUUGUUAAAGACCCAGAGAAAGGCCCUCUUAAAGACCGCAAGCUUAUAACACCCGGGAUACUGGGAAUGAAUAUAAUUGGGGAAUGCUAUCAGGUCCUUUUUGAACAACAUGGCUCACAGCUCUUCCACUCCCCUCCUGUAAAAUCGGCGGCGCCGGCAGCCCGACGUGCACUGAGACACUGUGAACAGAUCCAGGCCAUUGUAAAUGCAACGAAGCCGUUUAAAGUGAAAGUCCAUGGGAAAGGGGCUGUCUGUCUUGAGGCAGGAGCCCUAACCAUGGUCCCAGUUACAUGCCCCCAGCUUGAGUCCGUAGCAUUUUUGCUGGAGCCCUUGGGCUUUGAUGAGGAGCAAUUGCCUGAAGGCCUACUGGUGUCUCCCACCCUGGUGCCGGCGAGAAAGGGUUUGGUAUAUGCACCUGUAGUGAAUGUUGGUAACACAAAGGUAUGGUUGCCCCCACGCCACCCUAUUGGCACUGUACAAGUUGUGGCUGCGGCUGUGACAGGAACAGCUGCCUCUAUAUCAGUUGACCCUUCUUGGGAACAGUGUCAAGCUUAUGUCUCCACUCAGGAGGUGGUUGAGAGUUGCAGUUUCCCUGAGUUCACGGUGCCAGAUUUCCCUGGGUUGACUCAGCAACAAGCGGCUGAGGCAAGGGCCCUCCUUGUCCAGCAUAGUAAUAUCUUUUCCCAAGGUGAGGGAGACCUAGGAUGCACGUCUUUGAUCAGCCAUGAGAUUCCCCUGUUGGACAAUGUUCCUGUUCGGCAGCCAUACCGUAGAAUUCCACCCUCCCAGUAUGAAACGGUAAAGGCACACAUCCUACAGCUCCUGGAUAGUAAAGUCAUUAGGGGAAGUAGCAGUCCCUAUUCUUCUCCGAUAGUCCUGGUGACCAAGAAGGAUGGGAGUUUGCGCCUUUGUGUAGAUUAUAGGCAGUUAAAUGCAAAAACCCGCCGUGACGCAUAUCCCCUUCCCCGUAUAGAGGAAUCGUUGGAUGCACUUUCAGGAGCAAGAUGGUUUUCCACCUUAGACCUCGCAAGUGGAUAUAAUCAGGUUCCAAUGGUGGAGCAGGAUAAAUCAAAGACUGCCUUCUGUACACCUUUUGGCCUGUUUGAGUUCAACAGAAUGGCAUUUGGACUGUGUAAUGCCCCUGGAACGUUCCAGCGUUUGAUGGAGCGUAUGUUUGGUGAUUGCAGAUACCAGUCCGUUUUACUGUACCUGGACGAUGUGAUCGUCUUUUCCGCUACUGUUCAGCAGCAUCUGGAAAGGCUGAGAGAGGUAUUUUCCCGUCUGCAAAAACAGGGACUAAAAGUAAAACUGUCAAAAUGCCAUUUCUUCCAGCACCAGGUUAGUUACUUGGGACAUGUGGUCUCUGCUGAGGGAGUUUCCACGGAUCCUGCCAAGAUAGAGGUGGUCAAGGAGUGGAGACGCCCUGGACACCUGGCCGAAUUGCGAUCAUUUCUAGACUCAGCGGACCUCGAAGAAAGGGAAAGACCCUCCCAGUUCCCCUGGAAUCGGCUUGGGACGAAGGAUGUGAGUGAGCAUUCCUGUCUCUGAAAGAGCGACUUACCUCGGCUCCAGUGCUGGCAUAUGCCGAUUUUAAGAAGCCCUUCAUCUUGGAGGUAGAUGCCAGUUACGGAGGCCUUGGUGCGGUCCUCUCCCAAGAACAUGAAGGGAAAGUACGUCCAGUCGCAUUUGCCAGUCGGGGACUCAGAGCUGCUGAAAGAAAUAUGGAGAAUUAUAACUCCAUGAAGCUGGAACUACUUGCGGUAAAGUGGGCAGUAACAGAGAAGUUCCGUGAAUAUUUGCUGGGGAACCAUUUCUCAAUAUUUACUGACAAUAACCCCUUGAGCCAUCUGCUUACAGCAAAGCUGGGCGCAACCGAGCAGCGGUGGGCUUCCCAGCUGGCGUCAUUCAACUUUACCCUU
ensembl:lncRNA